GACGAACGCUGGCGGCGUGCUUAACACAUGCAAGUCGAACGGAAAGGCCCUGCUUUUGUGGGGUGCUCGAGUGGCGAACGGGUGAGUAACACGUGGGUAACCUGCCCUUGACUUUGGGAUAACUUCAGGAAACUGGGGCUAAUACCGGAUAGGAGCUCCUGCUGCAUGGUGGGGGUUGGAAAGUUUCGGCGGUUGGGGAUGGACUCGCGGCUUAUCAGCUUGUUGGUGGGGUAGUGGCUUACCAAGGCUUUGACGGGUAGCCGGCCUGAGAGGUUGACCGGCCACAUUGGGACUGAGAUACGGCCCAGACUCCUACGGGAGGCAGCAGUGGGGAAUAUUGCACAAUGGGCGGAAGCCUGAUGCAGCAACGCCGCGUGCGGGAUGACGGCCUUCGGGUUGUAAACCGCUUUCGCCUGUGACGAAGCGUGAGUGACGGUAAUGGGUAAAGAAACACCGGCUAACUACGU
rnacentral:rRNA from 1 species